rnacentral:rRNA from 1 species
AUUUGAUGCCUGGCAGUUCCCUACUCUCGCAUGGGGAGACCCCACACUACCAUCGGCGCUACGGCGUUUCACUUCUGAGUUCGGCAUGGGGUCAGGUGGGACCACCGCGCUACUGCCGCCAGNNNNNNNNNNNNNNNNNNNNUCAGGUGGGACCACCGCGCUACUGCCGCCAGGCAAAUUCUGUUAUCAGACCGUUUUUACGUUCUGAUGUAAUCUGAAUCAGUGCUGAAAAUCGUCUCUCAUCCGCCAAAACAUCUUCGGCGUUGUAAGGUUAAGCCUCACGGUUCAUUAGUACCGGUUAGCUCAACGCAUCGCUGCGCUUACACACCCGGCCUAUCAACGUCGUCGUCUUCAACGUUCCUUCAGGAGACCUAAAGUCUCAGGGAGAACUCAUCUCGGGGCAAGUUUCGUGCUUAGAUGCUUUCAGCACUUAUCUCUUCCGCAUUUAGCUACCGGGCAGUGCCAUUGGCAUGACAACCCGAACACCAGUGAUGCGUCCACUCCGGUCCUCUCGUACUAGGAGCAGCCCCCCUCAGUUCUCCAGCGCCCACGGCAGAUAGGGACCGAACUGUCUCACGACGUUCUAAACCCAGCUCGCGUACCACUUUAAAUGGCGAACAGCCAUACCCUUGGGACCUACUUCAGCCCCAGGAUGUGAUGAGCCGACAUCGAGGUGCCAAACACCGCCGUCGAUAUGAACUCUUGGGCGGUAUCAGCCUGUUAUCCCCGGAGUACCUUUUAUCCGUUGAGCGAUGGCCCUUCCAUUCAGAACCACCGGAUCACUAUGACCUGCUUUCGCACCUGCUCGCGCCGUCACGCUCGCAGUCAAGCUGGCUUAUGCCAUUGCACUAACCUCCUGAUGUCCGACCAGGAUUAGCCAACCUUCGUGCUCCUCCGUUACUCUUUAGGAGGAGACCGCCCCAGUCAAACUACCCACCAGACACUGUCCGCAACCCGGGUAACGGGUCCACGUUAGAACAUCAAACAUUAAAGGGUGGUAUUUCAAGGUCGGCUCCAUGCAGACUGGCGUCCACACUUCAAAGCCUCCCACCUAUCCUACACAUCAAGGCUCAAUGUUCAGUGUCAAGCUAUAGUAAAGGUUCACGGGGUCUUUCCGUCUUGCCGCGGGUACACUGCAUCUUCACAGCGAGUUCAAUUUCACUGAGUCUCGGGUGGAGACAGCCUGGCCAUCAUUACGCCAUUCGUGCAGGUCGGAACUUACCCGACAAGGAAUUUCGCUACCUUAGGACCGUUAUAGUUACGGCCGCCGUUUACCGGGGCUUCGAUCAGGAGCUUCGCUUGCGCUGACCCCAUCAAUUAACCUUCCGGCACCGGGCAGGCGUCACACCGUAUACGUCCACUUUCGUGUUUGCACAGUGCUGUGUUUUUAAUAAACAGUUGCAGCCAGCUGGUAUCUUCGACUGACUUCAGCUCCAUGAGUAAAUCACUUCACCUACGUGUCAGCGUGCCUUCUCCCGAAGUUACGGCACCAUUUUGCCUAGUUCCUUCACCCGAGUUCUCUCAAGCGCCUUGGUAUUCUCUACCUGACCACCUGUGUCGGUUUGGGGUACGAUUUGAUGUUACCUGAUGCUUAGAGGCUUUUCCUGGAAGCAGGGCAUUUGUUGCUUCAGCACCGUAGUGCCUCGUCGUCACGCCUCAGUGUUAAAGUGAACCGGAUUUACCUGGAACACACACCUACACGCUUAAACCGGGACAACCGUCGCCCGGCCAACAUAGCCUUCUCCGUCCCCCCNNNNNNNNNNNNNNNNNNNNCCCCCCUUCGCAGUAACACCAAGUACGGGAAUAUUAACCCGUUUCCCAUCGACUACGCCUUUCGGCCUCGCCUUAGGGGUCGACUCACCCUGCCCCGAUUAACGUUGGACAGGAACCCUUGGUCUUCCGGCGAGCGGGCUUUUCACCCGCUUUAUCGUUACUUAUGUCAGCAUUCGCACUUCUGAUACCUCCAGCAACCCUCACAGGCCACCUUCACAGGCUUACAGAACGCUCCCCUACCCAACAACACCUGAGUGUCGCUGCCGCAGCUUCGGUGCAUGGUUUAGCCCCGUUACAUCUUCCGCGCAGGCCGACUCGACCAGUGAGCUAUUACGCUUUCUUUAAAUGAUGGCUGCUUCUAAGCCAACAUCCUGGCUGUCUGGGCCUUCCCACAUCGUUUCCCACUUAACCAUGACUUUGGGACCUUAGCUGGCGGUCUGGGUUGUUUCCCUCUUCACGACGGACGUUAGCACCCGCCGUGUGUCUCCCGUGAUAACAUUCUCCGGUAUUCGCAGUUUGCAUCGGGUUGGUAAGCCGGGAUGGCCCCCUAGCCGAAACAGUGCUCUACCCCCGGAGAUGAAUUCACGAGGCGCUACCUAAAUAGCUUUCGGGGAGAACCAGCUAUCUCCCGGUUUGAUUGGCCUUUCACCCCCAGCCACAGGUCAUCCGCUAAUUUUUCAACAUUAGUCGGUUCGGUCCUCCAGUUAGUGUUACCCAACCUUCAACCUGCCCAUGGCUAGAUCACCGGGUUUCGGGUCUAUACCCUGCAACUUAACGCCCGGUUAAGACUCGGUUUCCCUCCGGCUCCCCUAUACGGUUAACCUUGCUACAGAAUAUAAGUCGCUGACCCAUUAUACAAAAGGUACGCAGUCACACAGGUAAACCUGUGCUCCCACUGCUUGUACGUACACGGUUUCAGGUUCUUUUUCACUCCCCUCGCCGGGGUUCUUUUCGCCUUUCCCUCACGGUACUGGUUCACUAUCGGUCAGUCAGGAGUAUUUAGCCUUGGAGGAUGGUCCCCCCAUAUUCAGACAGGAUACCACGUGUCCCGCCCUACUCAUCGAGCUCACAGCACAUGCGCUUUUGUGUACGGGGCUGUCACCCUGUAUCGCGCGCCUUUCCAGACGCUUCCACUAACACACAUGCUGAUUCAGGCUCUGGGCUCCUCCCCGUUCGCUCGCCGCUACUGGGGGAAUCUCGGUUGAUUUCUUUUCCUCGGGGUACUUAGAUGUUUCAGUUCCCCCGGUUCGCCUCAUUAACCUAUGGAUUCAGUUAAUGAUAGUGUGACGAAUCACACUGGGUUUCCCCAUUCGGAAAUCGCCGGUUAUAACGGUUCAUAUCACCUUACCGGCGCUUAUCGCAGAUUAGCACGUCCUUCAUCGCCUCUGACUGCCAGGGCAUCCACCGUGUACGCUUAGUCGCUUAACCUCACAACCCGAAGAUGUUUCUUACGAUUCAUCAUCGUGUUGCGAAAAUUUGAGAGACUCACGAACAACUUUCGUUGUUCUGUGUUUCAAUUUUCAGCUUGAUCCAGAUUUUUAAAGAGCAAA